rnacentral:rRNA from 1 species
GACGAACGCUGGCGGCGUGCCUAAUACAUGCAAGUCGAGCGAAGUUUUUCUGGUGCUUGCACCGGAAAAACUUAGCGGCGAACGGGUGAGUAACACGUAAAGAACCUGCCUCAUAGACUGGGACAACUAUUGGAAACGAUAGCUAAUACCGGAUAAUAGCAUUAACUGCAUGGUUGAUGUUUAAAAGUUGGUUUUGCUAACACUAUGAGAUGGCUUUGCGGUGCAUUAGCUAGUUGGUGGGGUAAAGGCCUACCAAGGCGACGAUGCAUAGCCGACCUGAGAGGGUGAUCGGCCACACUGGGACUGAGACACGGCCCAGACUCCCACGGGAGGCAGCAGUAGGGAAUCUUCCGCAAUGGGCGAAAGCCUGACGGAGCAACGCCGCGUGAGUGAAGAAGGAUUUCGGUUCGUAAAGCUCUGUUGUUAGGGAAGAAUGAUUGUGUAGUAACUAUACACAGUAGAGACGGUACCUAACCAGAAAGCCACGGCUAACUACGUG